rnacentral:misc_RNA from 1 species
UUUCCGUAGGUGAACCUGCGGAAGGAUCAUUAUUGAAUGAAACACUCCUGGCUUUAUGCUGUUGUGCUGGCCCUUUGGGCAAUGUGCACACGGCUCUGGUCACUUGUUUCUUCUGUUCCACCUGUGCACUGCCUGUAGACACGCUGUGUCUAUGAUAUUUGUUAACACACAACAAUGUUAGUUGGCAUGUUAUAUAUAAUAAUAAAAUAUACAACUUUCAACAACGGAUCUCUUGGCUCUC